rnacentral:tRNA from 1 species
UCCCUGGUGGCCCAGUGGUUAGGACUCUGUGCUUCCACUUCAGGGAGCCCAGGUUCGAUCCCUGCUUAGAGAA